AAAUAACCAAUCAAGGAAGAGGUCCUCUUUCUUUUUCUCCGCUUCCGGCCCCCUCGAGCAGAUGACGACCAAGCGCCGCAACCACGGACGUUCGAAGCCCGCGCACAGUCGCGGUCGCGUCAAGCCGAUCCACUGCUUCAACUGCGGUCGUCUGACCCCGAAGGACAAGGCCGUCGGCCGCUUUGUGGUGCGCCGCAUGCUGGAUGCCGCUUCCGCCCGCGAUGUGGCGGAGGCGUCGCCGGUGUACGGUGCAAACUUCCCGAUGCCGAAGCUGUACAUGAAGCAGCGCUUCUGCAUAGCGUGCGCUAUCCACAGCCGCACCGUGCGCGCUCGCCCGGUCGGAAACCGCAAGAUACGCUACACAAGGAAGGUGCCGUUCCGCCCUGCCGGCAAGAAAUGAAAGAACUAGUUAAGAGUGACGAAGCGCGUGAGCUCUUCCCACUGAACGGAUGAAAGACGGCGUACGAGUGGUUGUUGAGAGGACGCGAAGCCGAGGAGCACUGCUGUGCUGAAGGGGCGGCAAGGACAUCUGGCCGUUCUCUUCCUUCCCACCCCCUCCCUCUCCCUCCAAUGUCUCUCUGUUCACGUUGACACUCCCUUCCCCUCCCUGUCGCCUGUGUUAUUUCUUGCACAAACGGAUCGUGUGCGUGCAUGCGAGUGUUCGUCUUCGUAUGUUUUUUUUUUUUCGUUUCAUUUUCCACCAGCCUCAUUUAUUCAGCGAAAAUCCGAAAUACGCAGACAGCGAAAACGAAGAAGAAUGCGUGCGCUCGCGUGCGGUCGCUCCUCGUCAGCGAUGGCGAUGUGUCGCUCGUGCGAGAGUUUGGUGACGAGGAAUGUCUCCGUGGACUCAGGGAAGGCACGGCUGCUGGGGUGUGCAUGCACGCGGAUCGUGUCGGGGACGAGGCUGGUCCUUUCCGACAGGCUAUACCUUUCGCCAUCGGCGCAAGUUUCUUGGCCGAAGACACACGUGCGUUGCCGUAUAUUGAGGAAUUGAUGUUCUUGUGACUUCCUCCGUGCGUGCUGCGUCAAGCUUGUUUCUCUCACUCUCUCACGCACACACCUCCGUAACCACAAAAUUCUCAG
rnacentral:misc_RNA from 1 species